UACGUAGGGUGCGAGCGUUAAUCGGAAUUACUGGGCGUAAAGCGUGCGCAGGCGGUCUGUUAAGACAGAUGUGAAAUCCCCGGGCUUAACCUGGGAACUGCAUUUGUGACUGGCAGGCUAGAGUAUGGCAGAGGGGGGUAGAAUUCCACGUGUAGCAGUGAAAUGCGUAGAGAUGUGGAGGAAUACCGAAUGGCGAAGGCAGCCCCCUGGG
rnacentral:rRNA from 1 species